rnacentral:lncRNA from 1 species
GAUGUCUUUUCUGGUAUCAUUUUUUGGUAGUGUGUGUGUGUUUGUGUGUGUGUGUGUGUGUGUGAAUCAGCGCCUAAUAGCACUAUAUGCACAGAAUUAUACUGUUCCUCCUGUAGCCAUGAAUGAAGAUCAGAAUGCUCUUUUUCCAGCUGUACUCUGAAUUUAUUGAGAAUAGAUACCUGUUCUGAUUAUGCAGUGUAUGCCAAGUGCCAAGCACAGAGUAGAAUUUCCUUAGUGGAUUUGUUCUAGGUCCAGAGUGUAGCGGGCCUGCUUCUUAGAGACUGCUUUAUAUUCAGCAAAGUCCCAAGGUACUAUAUUGUUAAUUUAUAAGGAGAAAAACAUCAUGUAGGUGGCUACAAGCAGUACUCAAAUCUCCAUGUCCAAUCUGCAUGCUCUGUUGUAGAGUCUGUCCUACAUAGGUGAUCAUAAGCAGAGAAUGUUUAGAAAGCCUGGAGUCAAACCAAGAAUAUGCUUUUCGGACUUUUGUUUAUAGAGCAUCUGAGGCUGACCACCUCACUUUCCAUGUGAUACAUUUUAUAGUCAAGCCUUGCUAACCUUGAACCCAUUUUAUUGCUCUUCAGUUUAAGUUCUGUGAAGCUGUAAUUAAUCCUUUUCAAAACAGCUAUAAUUCUCUUAUUCCACUCUGUCAUACUCACCUGUCAAAACCUCAGCCCUGGUUAAAACCAACUAUUGGUCAGCUUACUUAGCUUUGGCCUUCUCUUUUGUCUUCAUUUUAUUUGCAGGUGCCAUCUAGUCCCAUGUAUUUAAAUACUUCAGCUGGUGGCUCUGAAAUUUCUAGCAACAGUGCUGCCCUCUCCUGAGCUCCAGACUUAGAUCCAAAUGUCUCCUUGAUGGUUCAUGUUGGAAGACUUCAAGGUCAAACACAUGUACAGGGUUAACAUGACUUUAUUUUUUUCACCAAGCCUGCCUCUUAUGUUUGCCUGUUUGUUCCAUCUAAAACUCUACUUUUCCUGGAUUCUUUACUUUCCAGUUGUCUUGCAUAUGAUCAUCCAAAUGUCCCAAAAGUGCCCAUUUCUCUUCUUCACCACUACCUUGGGGUCCAUGCCACUAGUGUUUUCUUGCUUGAUCUGUUACAGUGACCUGACUGGUCUUUCUGCUUUCACUCCUACACACUCCCCCAACCCUCUGUGUGCAAGAGCAGAGCGAGCUUUUUAAAAUAAAAGUCACAUGCCUUAGGUAAUCCUCCCAUGUUCCACUAUCUUGGCUCAUUGAAUUCCUGUCUUCAGGAAUCUUGUCCUCUGCCUUACCUCAACCUCUCACUCUGGUCUUAUUCAUUUCCAGUAAUCGAACCCCCUCCCUAAUUGUGUGUAUCCUUCUCUCUGACCAUAGCUCCUGUCUUUCCAGCUCACUUUCUGUAGUAUCCCAGAUCCAGUAAUCCUUGGAUCCUACUAGGACCUUCAAGCCACUACAGACAGGCUAUUACCUCCAUGACCCCACCAAAGUAUGCCAUGCCCUCCUAGUUUACGGUGUACCUGACUUAGCAGCCACACCUCAACCUGGGCCCCUGGCUGCUCCCCAUGUCCCUGACCCACUGAGAUUAGCAGGUCACCUAAUCCAUCUUCCCUGUCUGCUGGGCCAGCCAGGACCUCCCCUUGAACUCCACUGGGCCCUUACUGGCCUGCUUGACAGCUCCACUUGGAUUUCUGGUAUUCUUCUGGCAUUCUUUCUGACCUUUACCCACCAAACUGCUCCUCUCACAAUUUCUGCCAUUUCAGUUUAAUGGCAACUCUUAAUUAUUAGCAUAUCCUGUUGGUUCUAUGUUUAAAGUAAAUCCAUUGGAGUCCAGUUACUCUGG